GGUUGUUGCUCAGUGGUAGAGCACUUGCCUGUCACACAUGAGGCCCUACGGUCGAUUCCCAGCACCA
rnacentral:tRNA from 1 species